AGAGAGCAUACUGGGGAAAAAAGCCUGGUGGAGAGGUUGUCAUCAAGGAAUACUCUAAAACUAAAAGCCUGGUGGAGAGGUUGUCAUCAAGGAAUACUCUAAAACUAAAAGCCUGGUGGAGAGGUUGUCAUCAAGGAAUACUCCAAAACUAAAAGCCUGGUGGAGAGGUUGUCAUCAAGGAAUACUCUAAAACUAAAAGCCUGGUGGAGAGGUUGUCAUCAAGGAAUACUCUAAAACUAAAAGCCUGGUGGAGAGGUUGUCAUCAAGGAAUACUCCAAAACUAAAAGCCUGGUGGAGAGGUUGUCAUCAAGGAAUACUCCAAAACUAAAAGCCUGGUGGAGAGGUUGUCAUCAAGGAAUACUCUAAAACUAAAAGCCUGGUGGAGAGGUUGUCAUCAAGGAAUACUCUAAAACUAAAAGCCUGGUGGAGAGGUUGUCAUCAAUGAAUACUCUAAAACUAAAAGCCUGGUGGAGAGGUUGUCAUCAAGGAAUACUCCAAAACUAAAAGUCUGACUGACCUGACCAGAUGAAAGAUGAUCAACGUUCUUGUUUCAGGCGAUGACGGAGACUCAUGGGACAUCAGCACCGCGCAGUGUGAGAGAAACGUUUGCACAAGGCAUUGUGUCCUUGUUCCCAUACCUGAAUGAUCCCUACAUCACAAAUGGAUAUGAACAUUAUUACGACCCUAAUAGUGGAGAAGGGUACCUCUCGUAUAGAAUCAAAACCAUUCAGAGGAAUUUGGCUUCAUCAGAGAAACUGCCCACUCA